CUGGCACCCUACCUCCCAUGCCUCCCCAAUCAUCAUACAUUGGUUCGCCUGUUUUCUGGAUUGGAGUUGGUGUAGCAUUGUCUGUGGCGUUUACCACGGUUUCUUCCAUGCUAAAGGUGAGCUCACAGCUAUCCUCUGUUUUUUAU